AUUGAACGCUGGCGGCAUGCUUUACACAUGCAAGUCGAACGGUAACAGGGAGCUUGCUCCGCUGACGAGUGGCGAACGGGUGAGUAAUGCGUCGGAACGUGCCGAGUAGUGGGGGAUAACGCAGCGAAAGUUGUGCUAAUACCGCAUACGUACUGAGGUAGAAAGUGGGGGACCUUCGGGCCUCACGCUAUUCGAGCGGCCGACGUCUGAUUAGCUAGUUGGUGAGGUAAAGGCUCACCAAGGCGACGAUCAGUAGCGGGUCUGAGAGGAUGAUCCGCCACACUGGGACGGGGACACGGCCCAGACUCCUACGGGAGGCAGCAGUGGGGAAUUUUGGACAAUGGGCGCAAGCCUGAUCCAGCCAUGCCGCGUGUCUGAAGAAGGCCUUCGGGUUGUAAAGGACUUUUGUCCGGGAGCAAAUGCUGGUGGCUAACAUCCACCGGAGCUGAGAGUACCGGAAGAAUAAGCACCGGCUAACUACGUGCCAGCCGCCGCGGUAAAAC
rnacentral:rRNA from 1 species